UGGGGAAUAUUGCACAAUGGGCGAAAGCCUGAUGCAGCGACGCCGCGUGAGGGAUGACGGCCUUCGGGUUGUAAACCUCUUUCAGCAGGGACGAAGCGCAAGUGACGGUACCUGCAGAAGAAGCACCGGCUAACUACGUGCCAGCAGCCGCGGUAAUACGUAGGGUGCAAGCGUUGUCCGGAAUUACUGGGCGUAAAGAGUUCGUAGGCGGUUUGUCGCGUCGUUUGUGAAAACCAGCAGCUCAACUGCUGGCUUGCAGGCGAUACGGGCAGACUUGAGUACUGCAGGGGAGACUGGAAUUCCUCGUGUAGCGGUGAAAUGCGCAGAUAUCAGGAGGAACACCGGUGGCGAAGGCGGGUCUCUGGGCAGUAACUGACGCUGAGGAACGAAAGCGUGGGUAGCGAACAGG
rnacentral:rRNA from 1 species